AGUCGCAAGACCUCGCGCGAUGGGAGCGGCCGAUAUCGGAUUAGCUUGUUGGUGAGGUAAAGGACUCACCAAGGCGACGAUCCGUAGCUGGUCUGAGAGGACGACCAGCCACACUGGAACUGAGACACGGUCCAGACUCCUACGGGAGGCAGCAGUGGGGAAUUUUGGAUAAUGGGGGCAACCCUGAUCCAGCCAUUCCGCGUGAGUGAAGAAGGCCUUCGGGGUUGUAAAAGCUCUUUCAGCAGGAACGAAACGGUGGCCACUAAUACUGGCUACUAAUGACGGUACCUGAAGAAGAAGCACCGGCUAACUACGUGCCAGCAGCCGCGGUAAUACGUAGGGUGCGAGCGUUAAUCGGAAUUACUGGGCGUAAAGCGUGCGCAGGCGGUUCCAUAAGACAGAUGUGAAAUCCCCCGGGGCUUAACCUGGGAACUGCGUUUGUGACUGUGGGACUCGAGUGUGGCAGAGGGGGGG
rnacentral:rRNA from 1 species